rnacentral:rRNA from 1 species
GUGGGAAUCUGGGCCUCUAGAGGGGGAUAACUCGGGGAAACUCGGGCUAAUACCGCAUAAUCUCUAAGGAGGAAAGCGGGGGACCGAAAGGCCUCGCGCUGGGGGAUGAGCCUGCGUCCGAUUAGCUAGUUGGUGGGGUAAGGGCCUACCAAGGCGAUGAUCGGUAGCUGGUCUGAGAGGACGAUCAGCCACACUGGGACUGAGACACGGCCCAGACUCCUACGGGAGACAGCAGUGGGGAAUAUUGGACAAUGGGGGCAACCCUGAUCCAGCAAUGCCGCGUGGGUGUAGAAGGCUUUCGGGUUGUAAAGCCCUUUCAGUGGGGAAGAAAAGCGAUGUGUGAAUAGCACAUCGUGUUGACGUUACCUACAGAAGAAGCACCGGCUAACUCCGUGCCAGCAGCCGCGGUAAUACGGAGGGUGCGAGCGUUAAUCGGAAUUACUGGGCGUAAAGGGCGCGUAGGCGGUUUGGUAAGUUGGGUGUUAAAGCCCCGGGCUCAACCUGGGAAUGGCACUUGAUACUGCCUGGCUGGAGUAUGGUAGAGGGAGGCGGAAUUUCCGGUGUAGCGGUGAAAUGCGUAGAUAUCGGAAGGAACACCAGUGGCGAAGGCGGCCUCCUGGACCACUACUGACGCUGAGGUGCGAGAGCGUGGGGAGCGAACAGGAUUAGAUACCCUGGUAGUCCACGCCCUAAACGAUGAGAACUAGACGUUGGGAGGGAUAGCCUUUCAGUGUUGCAGCUAACGCGUUAAGUUCUCCGCCUGGGGAGUACGGCCGCAAGGUUGAAACUCAAAUGAAUUGACGGGGGCCCGCACAAGCGGUGGAGCAUGUGGUUUAAUUCGAUGCAACGCGAAGAACCUUACCUGGCCUUGACAUCCCCGGAACUUUGCUGAGAGGCGAAGGUGCCUUCGGGAGCCGGGAGACAGGUGCUGCAUGGCUGUCGUCAGCUCGUG